CUGUGCCUCACUGCCUUCUUCCCGCAGCAUAAAAGUAAGUUGCUGCAAGAGGACACUAGGACCGAGGCAACUGGAGGGUCCCUAUUGCGAACAGCACUGAAAUCUGUGGAGUCCUAAAGAGAUGCUGAGCCUAUUUUAUGAUUUAGGAAAU